GAGACGCUGGCGGCGUGGAUUAGGCAUGCAAGUCGAACGGUAUCAUCCUUCGGAGGUGAGAGAGUGGCGAACUGGUGAGUAACACGUAGGUUAUCUACCCUCAAGACGGGGACAACCCAGGGAAACUUGGGCUAAUACCGGAUGUGAGCAACUUUAGUUGUUUGAAAGGUGGCGUAAGCUGUCGCUUGGGGAUGAGCCUGCGUCCUAUUAGUUAGUUGGUGAGGUAACGGCUCACCUAGGCAAUGAUAGGUAGGCGGCCUUAACGGGUGGUCGCCCACACUGGGAUUGAGAUACGGCCCAGACUCCUACGGGAGGCAGCAGUCGAGAAUAGUCUACAAUGGUCGGAAGACUGAUAGUGCGACGCCGCGUGAACGAUGAAUCCCUUCGGGGUGUAAAGUUCUUUUAUAUGUGAGCAGUGCUUCUUAUAUUAACAGUAUGGGGAGAGAGAUAUUAGCAUAUGAAUAAGCAACGGCUAACUCCGUG
rnacentral:rRNA from 1 species